AAUAAUGAAAGCAGUGAUGUAGACUUCACCCCUGUCCAAGCAAGCCAACAGUACAGUUCUCUCUUAAAUUCUCUUUAUUUCCUUCCAUAAACAUGUACUGCACUGCACCCACUUCUCCACAUGGGGUGGCUGCAAUCCCUCAUCUCCCCGUUGAAGAAGCUAUGGGAUCGUCUACACUCAGCUCACAAAAAGAGAAGAGGGAUAUACAUCCUCUACGAGGACGUCAAAUCAUGCCCUUGUGAAGAUGUACACAUCCUUUGGUCGAUCGUCGUCAAAUCACAUAAACCUUUGCCAUCCAAACCACGAGGGCUCUUGAUAGGUCCUUCCAAAAACUAAGGGGUGUGUAUGUGUUGUGUUCUGUACAGUCGUCAAAAAAUGUAUGGUGUGUUCUAAGUUAUUGGAGGCUCUGAAUCCUCUACCAGUGAAGAGAGAAUGUUCUGCUGGUCCAAUAUGGUGUGGUGUGUUCAUGUCUUUCUGGUAUUAGUGGUUAUUUCUUUACCCACUGACUAUGAUAUCAUCAUUAAGGCAGUAGAGGUUCUCUUCACUGGCCAAUAGAGGAUUUGGAGCAGUUUCAGGUGUUCGAAAUAAUAGGUUUUGGAACUCACGACACUUUUUGGUAA